UACAAGUUGUACGAAACCAUAGGGAUUUUGGCAUGUGACAUAUAUAAUAUUAGUAUUAUGUAUUAUGGUUCUAAAAUUUCACAAAACCACAAACGUUAACCAAUUUUACAUACUUCCAUACUAAUAAAUUUCAGAUGUGAUUAUAGAACACAAAAGUGUGAUAGAUUAAAGUAAAAAUGAUGUAUAGUGUGGUUUUGUGAAACUUGGUUAUGUGCCACAUGGUAAAACCCUAGUGGUUUUUGUGCAAAAGUUUACUCUUGG
rnacentral:pre_miRNA from 1 species